rnacentral:rRNA from 1 species
UACGAAGGGGGCUAGCGUUGCUCGGAAUCACUGGGCGUAAAGGGUGCGUAGGCGGGUUUUUAAGUCAGGGGUGAAAUCCUGGAGCUCAACUCCAGAACUGCCUUUGAUACUGAAGAUCUUGAGUCCGGGAGAGGUGAGUGGAACUGCGAGUGUAGAGGUGAAAUUCGUAGAUAUUCGCAAGAACACCAGUGGCGAAGGCGGCUCACUGGCCCCGGUACUGACGCUGAGGUGCGAAAGCGUGGGGAGCAAACAGG